CAACACAGCAGUACUAGAAUCACAAUUAUAAGGAAAUAAACAUGCCUCUUGAAUCUUCUACUUUGUUUUAUAAAACAAAACACAAUUAUUAUCUGAAUGGACUACUAUAUUUGUUAUAUAUACCAACAGAAGGAAUUGGACUAUUAACUGCAUAAAUCACAAAUUCUUCAGCAUAAUUUCGAAUAUAACAAUUCUGAAACCUGAGAACAAUGUUAAGCAAUUGAUUGCUUUUAUCAACUUGCCAUGUCCAAAUA